rnacentral:rRNA from 1 species
UACGUAGGGUGCGAGCGUUAAUCGGAAUUACUGGGCGUAAAGCGUGCGCAGGCGGUUCGUUGUGUCGGUGGUGAAAUCCCCGGGCUUAACCUGGGAAUGGCCAUGGAAACUGGCGGACUGGAGUGUGGCAGAGGGGGGUGGAAUUCCGCGUGUAGCAGUGAAAUGCGUAGAGAUGCGGAGGAACACCGAUGGCGAAGGCAGCCCCCUGGGCCAACACUGACGCUCAGGCACGAAAGCGUGGGGAGCAAACAGG